CGUGCAGGCCCAGGCUCCCAUGUGGGUGGUCGAGACUCCCACUCGGACGCCCUCAUCCCACUCAAGCUCCAACAUCCAGUUCCUCCAGCCACUGCGUCUCCUGCUUUGGCUCCUGCAGAUACUGACCCUGCUCACCCAACCUAACAGGUUGGCCCUGAACUUGUUUAGGAAGAGAAUGAAGGUAGCAGAGGAAGCAGAACGGGGGCCAUCUCGACGGCGUUCGUCAGUUAGCGCCUGCAGGAAAUCUGCCCAUGGUCCACCACCAAAGAGCUUGGAAACGCCUCAUUCUCAACGUCACAUGAAAAUCAGCCCUGAGCUAAUAUCUGCCGCAAUCCUCCUCUUUUUGCUGAGGAAGACUGGCCCUGAGCUAACAUCCAUGCCCAUCUUCCUCUACAUUAUAUGUGGGAUGCCUACCAGAGCAUGGCUUGCCAAGCUGUGCCAUGUCCACACCCGGGAUCCGAACCAGUGAACCCCAGGCC
rnacentral:lncRNA from 1 species